rnacentral:rRNA from 1 species
GGGUUGUGAGGUUAAGCGACUAAGCGUACACGGUGGAUGCCCUGGCAGUCAGAGGCGAUGAAGGACGUGCUAAUCUGCGAUAAGCGUCGGUAAGGUGAUAUGAACCGUUAUAACCGGCGAUUUCCGAAUGGGGAAACCCAGUGUGUUUCGACACACUAUCAUUAACUGAAUCCAUAGGUUAAUGAGGCGAACCGGGGGAACUGAAACAUCUAAGUACCCCGAGGAAAAGAAAUCAACCGAGAUUCCCCCAGUAGCGGCGAGCGAACGGGGAGCAGCCCAGAGCCUGAAUCAGUGUGUGUGUUAGUGGAAGCGUCUGGAAAGGCGUGCGAUACAGGGUGACAGCCCCGUACACAAAAAUGCACAUACUGUGAGCUCGAUGAGUAGGGCGGGACACGUGGUAUCCUGUCUGAAUAUGGGGGGACCAUCCUCCAAGGCUAAAUACUCCUGACUGACCGAUAGUGAACCAGUACCGUGAGGGAAAGGCGAAAAGAACCCCGGCGAGGGGAGUGAAAAAGAACCUGAAACCGUGUACGUACAAGCAGUGGGAGCCCUGAUUUAUCAGGGUGACUGCGUACCUUUUGUAUAAUGGGUCAGCGACUUAUAUUCUGUAGCAAGGUUAACCGAAUAGGGGAGCCGAAGGGAAACCGAGUCUUAACUGGGCGUUAAGUUGCAGGGUAUAGACCCGAAACCCGGUGAUCUAGCCAUGGGCAGGUUGAAGGUUGGGUAACACUAACUGGAGGACCGAACCGACUAAUGUUGAAAAAUUAGCGGAUGACUUGUGGCUGGGGGUGAAAGGCCAAUCAAACCGGGAGAUAGCUGGUUCUCCCCGAAAGCUAUUUAGGUAGCGCCUCGUGAAUUCAUCUCCGGGGGUAGAGCACUGUUUCGGCAAGGGGGUCAUCCCGACUUACCAACCCGAUGCAAACUGCGAAUACCGGAGAAUGUUAUCACGGGAGACACACGGCGGGUGCUAACGUCCGUCGUGAAGAGGGAAACAACCCAGACCGCCAGCUAAGGUCCCAAAGUCAUGGUUAAGUGGGAAACGAUGUGGGAAGGCCCAGACAGCCAGGAUGUUGGCUUAGAAGCAGCCAUCAUUUAAAGAAAGCGUAAUAGCUCACUGGUCGAGUCGGCCUGCGCGGAAGAUGUAACGGGGCUAAACCAUGCACCGAAGCUGCGGCAGCGACACUAUGUGUUGUUGGGUAGGGGAGCGUUCUGUAAGCCUGCGAAGGUGGCCUGUGAGGGUUGCUGGAGGUAUCAGAAGUGCGAAUGCUGACAUAAGUAACGAUAAAGCGGGUGAAAAGCCCGCUCGCCGGAAGACCAAGGGUUCCUGUCCAACGUUAAUCGGGGCAGGGUGAGUCGACCCCUAAGGCGAGGCCGAAAGGCGUAGUCGAUGGGAAACAGGUUAAUAUUCCUGUACUUGGUGUUACUGCGAAGGGGGGACGGAGAAGGCUAUGUUGGCCGGGCGACGGUUGUCCCGGUUUAAGCGUGUAGGCUGGUUUUCCAGGCAAAUCCGGAAAAUCAAGGCUGAGGCGUGAUGACGAGGCACUACGGUGCUGAAGCAACAAAUGCCCUGCUUCCAGGAAAAGCCUCUAAGCAUCAGGUAACAUCAAAUCGUACCCCAAACCGACACAGGUGGUCAGGUAGAGAAUACCAAGGCGCUUGAGAGAACUCGGGUGAAGGAACUAGGCAAAAUGGUGCCGUAACUUCGGGAGAAGGCACGCUGAUGCGUAGGUGAAGCGACUUGCUCGUGGAGCUGAAAUCAGUCGAAGAUACCAGCUGGCUGCAACUGUUUAUUAAAAACACAGCACUGUGCAAACACGAAAGUGGACGUAUACGGUGUGACGCCUGCCCGGUGCCGGAAGGUUAAUUGAUGGGGUCAGCCGCAAGGCGAAGCUCUUGAUCGAAGCCCCGGUAAACGGCGGCCGUAACUAUAACGGUCCUAAGGUAGCGAAAUUCCUUGUCGGGUAAGUUCCGACCUGCACGAAUGGCGUAAUGAUGGCCAGGCUGUCUCCACCCGAGACUCAGUGAAAUUGAACUCGCUGUGAAGAUGCAGUGUACCCGCGGCAAGACGGAAAGACCCCGUGAACCUUUACUAUAGCUUGACACUGAACAUUGAGCCUUGAUGUGUAGGAUAGGUGGGAGGCUUUGAAGCGUGGACGCCAGUCUGCGUGGAGCCGACCUUGAAAUACCACCCUUUAAUGUUUGAUGUUCUAACGUGGACCCGUGAUCCGGGUUGCGGACAGUGUCUGGUGGGUAGUUUGACUGGGGCGGUCUCCUCCUAAAGAGUAACGGAGGAGCACGAAGGUUGGCUAAUCCUGGUCGGACAUCAGGAGGUUAGUGCAAUGGCAUAAGCCAGCUUGACUGCGAGCGUGACGGCGCGAGCAGGUGCGAAAGCAGGUCAUAGUGAUCCGGUGGUUCUGAAUGGAAGGGCCAUCGCUCAACGGAUAAAAGGUACUCCGGGGAUAACAGGCUGAUACCGCCCAAGAGUUCAUAUCGACGGCGGUGUUUGGCACCUCGAUGUCGGCUCAUCACAUCCUGGGGCUGAAGUAGGUCCCAAGGGUAUGGCUGUUCGCCAUUUAAAGUGGUACGCGAGCUGGGUUUAGAACGUCGUGAGACAGUUCGGUCCCUAUCUGCCGUGGGCGCUGGAGAACUGAGGGGGGCUGCUCCUAGUACGAGAGGACCGGAGUGGACGCAUCACUGGUGUUCGGGUUGUCAUGCCAAUGGCACUGCCCGGUAGCUAAAUGCGGAAGAGAUAAGUGCUGAAAGCAUCUAAGCACGAAACUUGCCCCGAGAUGAGUUCUCCCUGACUCCUUGAGAGUCCUGAAGGAACGUUGAAGACGACGACGUUGAUAGGCCGGGUGUGUAAGCGCAGCGAUGCGUUGAGCUAACCGGUACUAAUGAACCGUGAGGCUUAACCUUACAACGCCGAAG